ACAUAACUGAUGCCUCCGCGUAUCGACUUUGUGCGCAUUUUAGCUAUUAUGUGUUCUUUUAAUUAAAAUGAUUCUUUUUAAGAUUCAUCUAUUAAAAAUUUGCUUCGGCAUAAUUUUUUUUGAUGAUCUUGUUACUUUGAGUAAAUUAGAGUGUUCAAAGCAAACAGAUAUAGCAUUUGUGCGUUUGAAUACUACAGCAUGGAAUAACAAAAUUGAACAAGUCAGAAUUUUUUUGUUCUUUUUUCUUAUUUUGGCUUAGUUACGAUUAAUAGGAGUAGCUUGGGGGCAUUUGUAUUCAGAUGUCAGAGGUGAAAUUCUUAGAUUUUCUGGGGACAAACAACUGCGAAAGCAUUUGCCUAAAAUAUUUCCAUUAAUCAAGAACGAAAGUUAAGGGAGUGAAGACGAUCAGAUACCGUCGUAAUCUUAACCAUAAACUAUGCCGACUAGGCUUUGGAUGAAAGAUUUAAAAAUAGGAGUUUUUCUUUUCUCUCCGGAGAUUAGAACUCUUAGAUUGCUUCCUUCAGUGCCUUAUGAGAAAUCAAAGUCUUUGGGUUCUGGGGCGAGUAUUCGCGCAAGCGAGAAAGUUAAAAGAAUUGACGGAAGGGCACCACCAGGCGUGGAGCUUGCGGCUUAAUUUGACUCAACACGGGAAAACUCACUAGUUUAAGACGAGAGUAGGAUUGACAGAUUAAUGGCUCUUUCUUGAUUUCUUGGAUGGUGAUGCAUGGCCGUUUUUAGUUCGUGAAUAUGAUUUGUCUGGUUAAUUCCGAUAACGAACGAGAUCUUAACCUGCUAAUUAGCGGCAAAUACGAUAUAUUCUUAUGUAGAAUUGAAUAUAGUGGAUUUGUUAGAUUUUGAAGAAAAUAUUGGAAUUACGUUAAAUGUGAUUCCUUUCCCUUUUCUACUUAAUUUACAUUUCCAUCUAUUUCUUUUUUGCGUAUGAAUGUAUUUGCUUGAUUGUAAAGCUUCUUAGAGGAACGAUGUGUG
rnacentral:rRNA from 1 species